GUUUGCUCGGAGUUGUUUCGCAUUGGCUUUAUCAUUAUAGUUCUUGAUUCAAAUUGAUGGAAAACCAAUCUCCACUGGUAUGAUAGCUUCUGUUUUGAAGGAAAGGUUGAAAGGAGUCUCAUCUGUCAGAGUUCUCUGGGUAGUUCUAUAGGCCUAUAAUACACUAUAGAGUUCCUCGACCUAGGCUCCCUUGGGUCGAUCCAUCCU
rnacentral:lncRNA from 1 species